rnacentral:lncRNA from 1 species
AUGCUCGCCAUCUGACCGGCGCGCGAGCCGCGCUCACUGCGCUUGCGUCCUGCGGUCUUCCUGAGCGAAAGCUGGUGAACUGGGGUGCUGGGGUGCUAUCUGCGGGCAUUUCAGCUCCUUCCGCCGCUGCUGAGAAAGUUGAAGGCUUCGAAUUAAAUGAGUAGCAGCUCACCUAGUUCCUCCACACUGUUAGCGGGCAUGCCCGUGCUGGGCUGCCCAGGAAUUCAUUAUGUAGCUCACCCACAGUGAUCCUCCUGCUUCAGCCUCCCACAUGCUAGGAUAACAGCCCAGCCCAGAGGCAAAGAAAUGACUCCUUUUGGAACCUAUUUCAACAAGUCCCUGAGGCGUAUCGACCUUUAACCGCCAGGAAUCCUGUGGUCCUGCUUGAGGUGUGCCAAGACGGAACGGAGCAAAGAAUACCAUAAACCAACAGACUUUGCAAAUACACUGGAAGGGGGAACAUGAACAUGCUGGAGGUCAGAGGACAACUUGAAGCCUCUUGUUUUCUUCCUGAGGAUUGAACUUGGCCUUGCUACCGAGCGCCUCUGACCUCUGAGACAUCACACCAGCCCGAGUUAUGGAUGUGCAGAACCACACAGGCAGCUGAGGGA